rnacentral:rRNA from 1 species
AUUGAACGCUGGCGGCAUGCCUUACACAUGCAAGUCGAACGGUAACGGGCCUUCGGGUGCCGACGAGUGGCGCACGGGUGAGUAAUACAUCGGAACGUGCCCGAUCGUGGGGGAUAACGAGGCGAAAGCUUUGCUAAUACCGCAUACGAUCUACGGAUGACAGCAGGGGACCGCAAGGCCUUGCGCGGACGGAGCGGCCGAUGGCCGAGUAGGUAGUUGGUGGGAUAAAAGCUUACCAAGCCGACGAUCUGUAGCUGGUCUGAGAGGAUGAUCAGCCACACUGGGACUGAGACACGGACCAGACUCCUACGGGAGGCAGCAGUGGGGAAUUUUGGACAAUGGGCGCAAGCCUGAUCCAGCCAUGCCGCGUGCAGGAUGAAGGCCUUCGGGUUGUAAACUGCUUUUGUACGGAACGAAAAGCCUUCUUUUAAUACAGGAGGGUCAUGACGGUACCGUAAGAAUAAGCACCGGCUAACUACGUG